rnacentral:lncRNA from 1 species
UUCCCAUAAGAAUGCAAGACAUUCUCUUCUUCCUCCCAUUGAAACUAGAGAGCAUUUUGGUCUUGCAUAUCAAGUGGAAAACCAAUCCUCAAUUUUAGGUCUUGGAUAUAUUCUUGUGAAAGCAAAAAACUUCAAGACAAUCUUAAAGGAAGGAUCAAGGAGCUUCUCAAAGGUACACCUUGGACAAUCUUCAAGAAGGACUAAAGAUUUCCACUUAUGGAUUCAG